rnacentral:lncRNA from 1 species
GUUAACUUCAGAGACUGUUAUAGAGAUAACGUGUAAACAUAACUGGUAAAAAGAAGUUACCUGUGCCUUCCCCAGCAGAUGGUGAUCUUUAACAUUCUGAUGAUUAUUUGAUAGAAAAUUCAAGGUUUGUUUGUUAAGCGCACAUCUGCAUUUUCCAUGUCAGAAACUAAGUGGAAUCUUAGCUUGUCCUAGGAAAGUACCCUGUCUACAUGAGAACAUAUGCUAUGUAGAAAGACAAGAGGAAGACAGCCUGGAAGUCAUACAAAGAUGGAUUUAAAGAGUGAAGACUGAUGAAUUAGAAGAUGAGGCAAAAGCUACCUUGUUGUUUUUUUCCUUUCUUUUUAAAGGAAGUGUCAAAUGAAAAAUCAAUGCGGUAUAAUCUUUUUUGAAAUAGGGAGGUAUUGGGGGAAUCAAUGAUCACAUGAAAGAUAUGAAGAGAG